GACAGAGGAUGCAAGCGUUAUCCGGAAUGAUUGGGCGUAAAGCGUCUGUAGGUGGCUUUUUAAGUCCGCCGUCAAAUCCCAGGGCUCAACCCUGGACAGGCGGUGGAAACUACCAAGCUGGAGUACGGUAGGGGCAGAGGGAAUUUCCGGUGGAGCGGUGAAAUUCGUAGAUAUUCGGAAGAACACCAGUGGCGAAGGCGGCUAACUGGCCCAUUACUGACGCUGAGGCUCGAAGCGUGGG
rnacentral:rRNA from 1 species